rnacentral:rRNA from 1 species
AACGAACGCUGGCGGCAGGCCUAACACAUGCAAGUCGAACGCUCCGCAAGGGGAGUGGCAGACGGGUGAGUAACGCGUGGGAACCUACCUUACGGUCGGGAAUAGCCCAGGGAAACUUGAGCUAAUACCGUAUACGUCCGUGAGGAGAAAGUUUUAACGCCCCUAGACGGGCCCGCGUAGGAUUAGGUAGUUGGUGAGGUAACGGCUCACCAAGCCUACGAUCCUUAGCUGAUCUGAGAGGAUGAUCAGCCACACUGGGACUGAGACACGGCCCAGACUCCUACGGGAGGCAGCAGUGGGGAAUCUUGGACAAUGGGCGCAAGCCUGAUCCAGCCAUGCCGCGUGAGUGAAGAAGGCCU